rnacentral:rRNA from 1 species
UACGUAGGGGGCUAGCGUUGUCCGGAAUCAUUGGGCGUAAAGGGUGCGUAGGUGGUCGGGUAAGUCUGAUGUGAAACCUCGGAGCUCAACUCCGAAACUGCAUUGGAUACUAUCCGGCUUGAGGAGUGGAGGGGGGACUGGAAUUCCCGGUGUAGCGGUGAAAUGCGCAGAUAUCGGGAGGAACACCGGUGGCGAAGGCGGUUCUCUGGGCCUUACCUGACGCUGAGGAGCGAAAGCGUGGGGAGCGAACAGG